AUUGAACGCUGGCGGCAGGCUUAACACAUGCAAGUCGAGCGGGGUGAUGGUGCUUGCACUAUCACUUAGCGGCGGACGGGUGAGUAAUGCUUAGGAAUCUGCCUAUUAGUGGGGGACAACAUCUCGAAAGGGAUGCUAAUACCGCAUACGUCCUACGGGAGAAAGCAGGGGAUCACUUGUGACCUUGCGCUAAUAGAUGAGCCUAAGUCGGAUUAGCUAGUUGGUGGGGUAAAGGCCUACCAAGGCGACGAUCUGUAGCGGGUCUGAGAGGAUGAGCCGCCACACUGGGACUGAGACACGGCCCAGACUCCUACGGGAGGCAGCAGUGGGGAAUAUUGGACAAUGGGGGGAACCCUGAUCCAGCCAUGCCGCGUGUGUGAAGAAGGCCUUAUGGUUGUAAAGCACUUUAAGCGAGGAGGAGGCUUACCUAGUUAAUACCUGGGAUAAGUGGACGUUACUCGCAGAAUAAGCACCGGCUAACUCUGUGCCAGCAGCCGCGGUAA
rnacentral:rRNA from 1 species